UCCUUGUUAGUCUGGAUAGUCUACAGACCUCACUGAACGGUGUCCUUUGGAACUACUUUCUACUGAAGAAAUAGUCCCUAUGAACACUGUUGACAAUUUGUU